AAAACUAACAGGUCUGUGAGAGCCGGAAUUCUUACUGGUUGCACCAGAGGAACCAGGCCUCUAAAAAACGAGCUGGUGAAGCAUAUCCACCUGUUGCUGAAAUAAAAAGAUGUGAACAUCACCUUUAUGGCCUGCAUCCUCACAGCCAAAGGGAUCAUCAACUAUCUCAAGCCUACUAUGAGCUUUGCGGCAGACACUAAGAUGAGACUCCAUAUAGUAUUAACAUCCCCAUCCAAAGAGAGGAAACGGGGGAAAAAAAAAAAAAAAAA